rnacentral:rRNA from 1 species
CAAUAGCGUAUAUUAAAGUUGUUGCAGUUAAAAAGCUCGUAGUCGGAUUUUGGUACCAAGCCGAACGGUCUGCCGAACGGUAUGCACUGUUUAGCGGGUACUUCCUUCCGGAAGCCCGUGCUCUCCUUAAUUGGAUGGCACGGUGAGUCCGGAUCAUUUACUUUGAAAAAAUUAGAGUGUUCAAAGCAGGCCUAUGCUCUGAAUAGCUUAGCAUGGAAUAAUAGAAUAGGACUUCGGUACUAUUUUGUUGGUUUCUAGGACCGAAGUAAUGAUUAAUAGGGACAGUUGGGGGCAUUUAUAUUCCAUUGUCAGAGGUGAAAUUCUUGGAUUAACGGAAGAUAAACUACUGCGAAAGCAUCUGCCAAGGAUGUUUUCAUUGAUCAAGAACGAAAGUUAGGGGAUCGAAGACGAUCAGAUACCAU